AUGGACUGGUGUUUUCGAAAAAGCAAAGUGGAAAUGAUCAGGCAGCAGGGACUCUAUGCAGAAAAAAGUAAGAAGCAAAGAAGAAUUUCUCAGAAAAGGAGAUUUGAAGCACAAUUGUCAUCAGUUCAUAGAAUUUUGAAGCUGCCUAUCUUGUGA
rnacentral:lncRNA from 10 species